rnacentral:rRNA from 1 species
AGGUUGAACGCUGGCGGCAUGCCUUACACAUGCAAGUCGAACGGCAGCACGGGAGCAAUCCUGGUGGCGAGUGGCGAACGGGUGAGUAAUAUAUCGGAACGUGCCCAGUCGUGGGGGAUAACGUAGAGAAAUUUACGCUAAUACCGCAUACGAUCCAAGGAUGAAAGCGGGGGACCGUAAGGCCUCGCGCGACUGGAGCGGCUGAUAUCAGAUUAGCUU